rnacentral:lncRNA from 1 species
CGCCCUCGGGCCACGGCGCCCAGCUCUCGGCCGCCGCCGCGGGCGCCUGCAGCGACAGUCCCGAGAUGCCGGCGGCGGCGCAGGGCCGGCGCAGGGUCGUGGCGUAGGCCGGAGGGCAGGCCCACCAGGGCGGCGCGGCCUCGGGUGGCGCGGCGGGGCCGUAGAAGCGGUGGUAUUCCCGUGGGGCCGCCCACUCGCCCGCGUGCAGGCUCCCGGGCCGGCUGCGGAAGCUGUGGGCCUGGACUGGGGGCAGCAGCAGAGGGGCGGCCAGGAGUUCAGUGACAUGACCAGGGCUCACUGCAACCUUGAUCCGGGCUCAAGUGAUCCUCCUACCUCAGCUUCCUGAGUAGCUAGGACCACAGGUGUGCACCAACCACACCCGACUAAUUUUUGUAGAGAUGAGAUCCCACUAUGUUACCCAGGCUGGUCUUGAACUCCUGGGCUCAGGUGAUCAUCCUGCCUUGGCUUCCCAAAGUACUGGGAUUAUAGGCUUGAGCCACCGUGCCUGGCCUGUGAUCAGAAUUCUCAUUUUUUUAGUCACUAAAAAUGCUGGGGGGCACUCCAUUCUCCAUUAUGUGAUUAGUUCACAUUGCAUGCCUGUAUCAAAACAUCAUAUAUACCCCACAAAUACAUACAAAAAACUUUAAAAUUUUAAGUAUUAAUUGCUCAGGAAAAAAUUAAAAUGCUGGGGUGCUGAAAUCUCAAGGGCCCCAUUACAAAACUCCUUGGGAACCUCACCCUCUCUCUGCUGUAAGGACUGGUUCCAGAAUGAGAGAAUUUAAAAGACAUUUCCCCCCCCAAAAUGUUCAUAAUGUCACCCCGGAAACCUGCGAAUAUGUUAUAUUACAUGACCAGGGAGAAGUAAGGUUGCAGAAGGCAGUAAGGUUGCUAAUGGGCUGACCUUAAGAUAAGGAGAUGAUCCUGGAUUAUCUGGGUGGACCCAAUGUAAUCACAAGGGUCCUUAACUGUGGAAUAGUGAGGUGGCGGAGUCAGAGGCAGAGUGAUGCAAUGAGUGAAAGACUUAACCAGCCAUCACCGGCUUUGAAUACGGAAGACGGUCAUGAGCCAGGGAAUGCAGGCAGGCUCUGGGAGCUGAAAAAAGCAAGAAAAUGGAUUCUCCCCUGGAGCCUCCAGAAGGGAUGUGGUCCUGCCAACCCCUUGUCAGUGAGCCAUUUCAGAUUUCUGACUGCCAGGACUGUAAGAAAAUAAACUUGUCUUGUUUUCAGCCACC